AGCUCCAAUAGCGUAUAUUAAAUUUGUUGAAGUUAAAAAGCUCGUAGUUGGAUCUCAGGCUAGAUGUGUCGAUGUGGUCAAUGGCCAUCUUCGUUCAUAUCUGCCUUUUUCAGUUGUUUGUCUUCUUAUUGUUCUCUUCAUUGAGUGCUUUAGGGAGCUCGACACGUUUACCUUGAAAAAAUCAGAGUGCUUAAAGCAGGCCUUUGUGCUUGUAUGUUGUUGGUUUUCGGUAUCGAAGUAAUGAAUAAUAGAGACAGUCGGGGGCAUUUCUAUGGCUGUGUUAGAGGUGAAAUUCUGAGAUCGCAGCCAGAGAAACUACUGCGAAAGCAUUUGCCAAGCAUGUCUUCA
rnacentral:rRNA from 1 species